rnacentral:rRNA from 1 species
GAGUUUGAUCCUGGCUCAGAUUGAACGCUGGCGGCAUGGCUAAAACAUGCAAGUCGAACGCGAAAAUGGAGCUUGCUCCGUGAGUAGAGUGGCGAAAGGGCGAGUAAUGCGUUUCUAACGUACCCCAGGGCCGAGGAUAGCUCAUCGAAAGGUGAAUUAAUACUCGAUAACCCCAUCUACUGCAUGGUGUGGUGGGCAAAGGCUUGCUGCCCUGGGAUCGGGGAACGUGCUAUCAGGUUGUUGGUGAGGUAACGGCUCACCAAGCCUAAGACGGCUAGCGGGUGUGAGAGCACGGCCCGCCGCAUCGGGACUGAGACACUGCCCGGACUCCUACGGGAGGCUGCAGUAACGAAUAUUCCGCAAUGCGCGAAAGCGUGACGGAGCAAUGCCGCGUGCAGGAUGAAGCCCCUCGGGGUGUAAACUGCUGUCAGGGGCUAGAAACACAAUGAUCAGCCCCAGAGGAAGAGCCGGCUAACUCUGUGCCAGCAGCCGCGGUAAUACAGAGGGCUCAAGCGUUAAUCGGAAUCACUGGGCUUAAAGGGUGCGUAGGCGGGCCUGCAAGUACUUUGUGAAAUCCCACGGCUCAACCGUGGAACUGCUUGGCAGACUGCAGGUCUUGAGGUUGGUAGGGGCUGUCGGAACUCUAGGUGUAGCGGUGAAAUGCGUAGAUAUCUAGAGGAACACCAAAGGUGAAGACAGGCAGCUGGGCCAGUCCUGACGCUGAGGCACGAAAGCGUGGGUAGCGAACGGGAUUAGAUACCCCGGUAGUCCACGCCCUAAACGAUGUGUACUAGAUCGCGGAGGUUUUGACGCCAUCGUGGUCGAAGCAAAAGUGGUAAGUACACCGCCUGGGGAGUACGGUCGCAAGAUUAAAACUCAAAGGAAUUGACGGGGGCUCACACAAGCGGUGGAGCAUGUGGCUUAAUUCGAAGCAACGCGAAGAACCUUAUCCUGGGCUUGACAUGUACGGAUUAACUCCUAGAAACAGGAGCCACGCCCUCGGGUGGAACAUACACAGGUGCUGCAUGGCUGUCGUCAGCUCGUGCUGUGAAGUGUCGGGUUAAGUCCCUUAACGAGCGAAACCCCUAUCGUUAGUUGCUACCAGGUAAUGCUGAGGACUCUAACGAGACUGCCGGUGUUAAACCGGAGGAAGGUGGGGAUGACGUCAAGUCCUCAUGGCCUUUAUGCCCAGGGCUGCACACGUGCUACAAUGGCGUGAACAGAGCGAAGCGAUACCGUAAGGUGGAGCAAAUCGCAAAAAACACGCCCCAGUUCGGAUUGUGGUCUGCAAUUCGACCACAUGAAGUCGGAAUCGCUAGUAAUCGCGUAUCAGCUACGACGCGGUGAAUACGUUCCUGAGCCUUGUACACACCGCCCGUCAAGUCAUGGAAGCUGGUAGUACCCGAAGCCGUACCGAUUCAGGUAUGUCGACGGUGAGCUUGGUGACUGGGACUAAGUCGUAAGGGGUAACC